rnacentral:lncRNA from 1 species
CCUGUUCUAACUGGCCAGCCGCCAUCUUGCAACAUGGAGGAUAGAUUGCAAGUGGAGCCAAGAACAAAAUACAGCUGACUCUGAACAAAUCCUUUUCGUGACUUCUGGAUAAAGGACAACUCAAGCCCCUCGUUCCAGUGGCAGUGGAUUGAUGUGCAGCUUCCUAUGUGAAGGCAGAGCACACGUCUGUCUCUGGAGCUUCCUAGAACACAUGGAGAAGACAGAUACAGAGAAGGCAAUGUGAACACAGAACAGAAAGAGAUGUGGUUACGAGCCAAGGAAUGCUGACAGCCACACACAUUGGAAGAGAUUUCUAACUUGGAAUCACUAAGGACAAAAACUCCUAUAUUCCUGAAGCCCUACAAGCUGGAACUGGACAACUCGAUGUAAAUUUCAGGAGACAACCCCCAUGCCUGAUGUGUGGGCCACUAAGGGAGUUUACCAAAACAUCCAAUGCCAUAACCAGAGACAUUCAAACUAAACCAAGAAAAUGUUUCAAGCUCAAAUCCAGAAAUCUUGUCAACUAACUGCCCUCUGAACUCAGAGACUGAGUUUAUAAUUUGUCCUAAGCCAUUAACCUUUGUUAAUAGCUUUUUUUUGUUUUGUUUAUUUUUUCUGGUUUGGUUCAUGAGGGCAUUUGUUAAGAAGCAUACUCUAAUCCCUUGGUAUAUCCUCCUGAUAGUUCCCAUUGUAAUCUCCCAGCUGCAUUCUCUCAAGGGUUUUGAAGGUGUAUUUGCAGCGAUUAGUGGUAUACUAGGUGGCCUCACUGUGAUUACUGCAACAACUGCAAGAUGACCAAAGGAAUGUGUCUUCCACAAGGCUGACAUUGUGACUUAUGAGUUUCAUGCUAAGACAAAGACAACCCUGCCAUGAUGAUGACUGACAGUAGUGCUGAUGCCAUAAAUUUUUAUCAAAUCCCUCAGUACAGGUUGAGUCUGAUCAAAAGGGGAAAGCUGUUCAGUAAAAUAUGUGGGAGGUCAUUGUUUUGGAUUAAGCUCCUGCACUAGGCCCCAACAGACCAGAUCAAACCAGAAUGGAGUCACUCAUGCCAGAUGCCACAUUGUCAAACUGAAUGUAAAAAUAGGUCACUUGUUCAAAAAAAAAAGGAGAUUCACAGUAACCAAUUGAAAGGGGCCCAGUCAACCUAAGCUCACAUGAUAAGGAAGUCUCCUCUAGUUUAACGUAUGCAAGGAAAGUAGCUUUGAAAUCACCAGUCCACUUUUUGUUUCUUCUUUCUGCUUUCUUCAGUCUUUUCCAUUAUAAAGCCCACACAUCUGCUCAGCUCAGUAGGGCACCUUUCUAUUUCAUAGAUGGAAUGUCACUUGAUUCAUGAAUCAUUAAUAAAAGCCAAUUUGAUGUUUAAAA